AAAGUCAAAAGUUUUUAACUUGCGACUUUUAACUUUUUACUUUUAACUCGCACAUCAUAUUUCAUGUGAUGUGCUGGGGUUGUAGGACAACAGUGUCAUUCUUGUAAUGAAAAAAGUCAAAAAAUAUUUUGUUAGUUGAAUC
rnacentral:autocatalytically_spliced_intron from 1 species